UACGUAGGGGGCAAGCGUUGUCCGGAUUUAUUGGGCGUAAAGAGCGUGUAGGCGGCCAUACAGGUCAGCUGUGAAAACUCGAGGCUCAACCUCGAGACGUCGGUUGAAACCGUAUGGCUAGAGUCCGGAAGAGGAGAGUGGAAUUCCCGGUGUAGCGGUGAAAUGCGCAGAUAUCGGGGAAGAACACCUAUGGCGAAGGCAGCUCUC
rnacentral:rRNA from 1 species